rnacentral:rRNA from 1 species
AUUGAACGCUGGCGGCAGGCCUAACACAUGCAAGUCGAACGAGUGGCAGACGGGUGAGUAAUGUCUGGGACACUGCCUGAUGGAGGGGGAUAACUACUGGAAACGGUAGCUAAUACCGCAUACCAUCGGAUGUGCCCUGAUGGGAUUAGCUAGUAGGUGGGGAAACGGCUCACCAAGGCGAAGAUCCCUAGCUGGUCGGAGAGGAUGACCAGCCACACUGGAACUGAGACACGGUCCAGACUCCUACGGGAGGCAGCAGUGGGGAAUAUUGCACAAUGGGCGAAAGCCUGAUGCAGCCAUGCCGCGUGUAUGAAGAAGGCCUUCGGGUUGUAAAGUACUUUCAGCGGGGAGGCGUUACCCGCAGAAGAAGCACCGGCUAACUCCGUGCCAGCAGCCGCGGUAAUUC